rnacentral:rRNA from 1 species
UGCCUACGGGGGGCAGCAGUGGGGAAUAUUGCACAAUGGGGGGAACCCUGAUGCAGCGACGCCGCGUGGGUGAGGAAGUACUUCGGUAUGUAAAGCCCUAUCAGCAGGGAAGAAAAUGACGGUACCUGACUAAGAAGCCCCGGCUAACUACGUGCCAGCAGCCGCGGUAAUACGUAGGGGGCAAGCGUUAUCCGGAUUUACUGGGUGUAAAGGGAGCGUAGACGGCGUGCCAAGUCUGGUGUGAAAGGCCGGGGCUCAACCCUGGGACUGCAUUGUAAACUG